rnacentral:pre_miRNA from 1 species
AUCAUCUGGGGAUCUUGUUACAACACAGUUUCCAAUUUGGUACAUCUACAGCAGGGUCUAAGAUUCUGUAUUUAUAACAAGCUCCCAGGUGAUGCCAA